rnacentral:rRNA from 1 species
GGGAUAACUGCUAGAAAUGGUAGCUAAUACCGGAUAUGACGAUUGGCCGCAUGGUCUGGUCGUGGAAAGAAUUUCGGUUGGGGAUGGACUCGCGGCCUAUCAGGUUGUUGGUGAGGUAAUGGCUCACCAAGCCUACGACGGGUAGCCGGCCUGAGAGGGUGACCGGCCACACUGGGACUGAGACACGGCCCAGACUCCUACGGGAGGCAGCAGUGGGGAAUAUUGCACAAUGGGCGAAAGCCUGAUGCAGCAACGCCGCGUGAGGGAUGACGGCCUUCGGGUUGUAAACCUCUUUUAGUAGGGAAGAAGCGAAAGUGACGGUACCUGCAGAAAAAGCACCGGCUAACUACGUGCCAGCAGCCGCGGUAAUACGUAGGGUGCAAGCGUUGUCCGGAAUUAUUGGGCGUAAAGAGCUCGUAGGCGGUUUGUCGCGUCUGCUGUGAAAUCCCGAGGCUCAACCUCGGGUCUGCAGUGGGUACGGGCAGACUAGAGUGCGGUAG